GCACAGUGAUGACAGGCAAGGCCACCUCCUACCACCCGGUGAAAGGUGAAGGCUGGGCCUCCUGUUCUCAGGAGGUAGCUGCCAAGCGGGGACCCGAGUCUGCCGGCCUUCUGAGCAAGGAGCUCACCGCUGCUGAGA
rnacentral:snoRNA from 1 species